rnacentral:hammerhead_ribozyme from 1 species
ACACUCCUGAGGAGUCCCAUAAUAGGACGAAAUGGCCGUCCAGUGC